UGAGAGUUGGACUUGAACAUUAGUAAACAAGGGUGACAAUGACAAUAGAGACAUGAUUGGCAUCAAGAAAGUGAUUGUUAAACAUAGUUUAACCAUAUUGACAUUGGUCCAAGUUGACAUAGAGAGUUGCAUGAUUAAAUAGGUAGAGACCUAUCAUGACAUUGGCAUUGUGACGAGUGGCUAUGAAUCCUCAAGUUGAGGAUUGGAUCGAUACUCACGUUACGUCUUGGCUUGAGGGAGGUAGCUCCCCCUCGGGCGGUGCGCUCCAGAGUUGGUCACCACUGGGCGUGGUAAAGUCCCCCUAGAAGACGGUCCCUAGGGAGGUUCGAGUCCCCCGUUAUUAAGGGAUUUUGGGUUGUGAGUUAUUGGGGUUAACAUGGUUAACCGGUAAGAUUGGGUUAUAGCCAAAUGAGUUUACAACAAGUAUGCAUUAUGAGUUAUGGAUUUGGUAUCCUAGUCGAGAGGAUCUAGGGCUGAGGUGUAUGUGAGACGUCUCCAUUUUGAAAUCUUUGGACAUAACCAUAAUUCCGUUUGACUCUGUUCCAAGCAUGCAAAUAGAGUUCACGACACGGUUCCAAUCGCGAAGUGAGUCGAACCCGGCCUGCAAAUAUUCCACUCCCUCAGUUCUUGCUUCCAUUCCUAGCACAGACGCGAUCGUAUCAGGAGUGAAUGAUAA
rnacentral:lncRNA from 1 species